ensembl:snoRNA SNORD115 Small nucleolar RNA SNORD115
GGGUUAAUGGAGACCUCACACUGAAGAGAUGAUGACUUAAAAAGCAUGUUCAAUAAGAUAACACUGAGGCCC